CCGUUUGUAUGGCUGUUGAGGUGGAAUCUGCUGUUGAUACUGAGGAGAUCCUCGACUUGUAGGAUACUGACCAUAAGGAGAGGAUGGUCUCUGAUAUGGAGCUUGUGGGAUUUCCCAAACUGCAUUAACUUCAACCUCUUCUUCCUUUGGGGAACUGGCAAUAGAUUCACUCUCAAUGCUCUGGCUAUUUGAGGCGCAUUGGAUUCUUCCACUUUUGAG
rnacentral:lncRNA from 1 species